rnacentral:lncRNA from 1 species
UUAGGCUACAUCGUAGCCCUAACAAAAGAAAAUUAGAACAUAGUAGAAGAAGAAAUAAAAAUAUAGAUCAAACCCAGCAUCUUGAAUUAAAGGACAAGAAUUCUGUCACCACUUUUGUCUUCUCUUCAAAAUACUUAAAAAACUCUCAAAAGAAUAUAAAAAAAAAAAGGAUCUAACUCUCACCCUAGCUACUCUCUCUUCCUAUUUAUAGGAAAUCUAAAAUAUCUAUCUCCCAAUGCUUGCAGAUAACAUUAGGGAACAAAAUCAAGAAUUUCCUGAUUUGAUAUCCAUCUUCCACUGCUGCUUUUAUUUGAAUUCCUGAUAGUUA